rnacentral:rRNA from 1 species
GACGAACGCUGGCGGCGUGCUUAACACAUGCAAGUCGAACGGAAAGGCCCUGCUUUUGUGGGGUGCUCGAGUGGCGAACGGGUGAGUAACACGUGAGUAACCUGCCCUUAACUUUGGGAUAACUUCAGGAAACUGGGGCUAAUACCGGAUAGGAGCUCCUGCUGCAUGGUGGGGGUUGGAAAGUUUCGGCGGUUGGGGAUGGACUCGCGGCUUAUCAGCUUGUUGGUGGGGUAGUGGCUUACCAAGGCUUUGACGGGUAGCCGGCCUGCGAGGGUUACCGGCCACAUUGGGACUGAGGUACGGCCCAGACUCCUACGGGAGGCAGAAGUGGGGAAUAUUGCACAAUGGGCGGAAGCCUGAUGCAGCAACGCCGCGUGCGGGAUGACGGCCUUCGGGGUGUAAACCGCUUUCGCCUGUGACGAAGCGUGAGUGACGGUAAUGGGUAAAGAAGCACCGGCUAACUACGUG